rnacentral:rRNA from 1 species
CAACUCGCCUACAUGAAGCCGGAAUUGCUAGUAAUCGCGGAUCAGCAUGCCGCGGUGAAUACGUUCCCGGGCCUUGUACACACCGCCCGUCACACCACGAGAGUUUGUAACACCCGAAGUCGGUGAGGUAACCUUUUGGAGCCAGCCGCCUAAGGUGGGACAGAUGAUUGGGGUGAAGUCGUAACAAGGUAGCCGUAUCGGAAGGUGCGGCUGGAUCACCUCCUUUCUAUGGAG